CCCCGGGAUAACGAAUGUCGACUUGGAGGUUGUUCCCUUGAGGAGUGGCUUCCGGAGCUAACGCGUUAAGUCGACCGCCUGGGGAGUACGGCCGCAAGGUUAAAACUCAAAUGAAUUGACGGGGGCCCGCACAAGCGGUGGAGCAUGUGGUUUAAUUCGAUGCAACGCGAAGAACCUUACCUACUCUUGACAUCCACGGAACUUUUCAGAGAUGAUUUGGUGCCUUCGGGAACCGUGAGACAGGUGCUGCAUGGCUGUCGUCAGCUCGUGUUGUGAAAUGUUGGGUUAAGUCCCGCAACGAGCGCAACCCUUAUCCUUUGUUGCCAGCGGUUCGGCCGGGAACUCAAAGGAGACUGCCAGUGAUAAACUGGAGGAAGGUGGGGAUGACGUCAAGUCAUCAUGGCCCUUACGAGUAGGGCUACACACGUGCUACAAUGGCAUAUACAAAGAGAAGCGACCUCGCGAGAGCAAGCGGACCUCAUAAAGUAUGUCGUAGUCCGGAUUGGAGUCUGCAACUCGACUCCAUGAAGUCGGAAUCGCUAGUAAUCGUAGAUCAGAAUGCUACGGUGAAUACGUUCCCGGGCCUUGUACACACCGCCCGUCACACCAUGGGAGUGGGUUGCAAAAGAAGUAGGUAGCUUAACCUUCGGGAGGGCGCUUACCACUUUGUGAUUCAUGACUGGGGUGAAGUCGUACAAGGGUAACCAGUAG
rnacentral:rRNA from 1 species